GAUGAAAACUCCUUUUUUACUAUCUUACAUGCACAAAAGAAACAAUAAAAGCCCCUUUUAUUGGCGUGUAAUAAGUGGGGAUGAAGAGUCCUAGGUUUGUUGGACUCUUACUUGCCUUUUGUCAUCUCCUCUCAUCAAAUCAUGCCCAAAAGAAAUAUAGGAUGCCCAACCACUUAUUUUUCAUGGUAAAACCAGACCUGAUCUAAUUUUCCAUGGUGAGAAACCCCCAUGUUGUCUUACAAAAUAAGAGGAAUAAAAGGAAGUGGCAUCAAGGUCUAAGAGAUAAUGUCAAAUAUUAUCCAUAUGGUAUCCAAUUUCAAAUUUGAUUUGAGCAUACCAAAUAAAAUCAGAUCUUACCCAAAUUUGGAUGUGAGAUAAAGAAGAGAAAGGACUCUUUGAUGUGAAAAAAAUCUCAUGCAAAAACUAUUUCAGCAUGGAGAAAGAUGGCAUCAUAGUGGGAGGCGCAUG
rnacentral:lncRNA from 1 species